GGAGAGGUGCCAGAGUGGCCGAUUGGGCACGAUUGGAAGUCGUGUGUGGGUGAAAGCUCACCGUGGGUUCGAAUCCCACCCUCUCCG
rnacentral:tRNA from 1 species